AUUGAACGCUGGCGGCAGGCUUAACACAUGCAAGUCGAACGAGUGGCGGACGGGUGAGUAAUGUCCGGGACCCCGCUCGAUGGAGGGGGAUAACAACUGGUAAAGGUAGCUAAUACUGCAUACCAUGGGUUGUGCUCAGAUGGGUUUUGCUAGUAGGUGGGGUAACGGCGCACCUAGGCGACGAUCCCUAGCUGGUCUGAGAGGAGGACCAGCCGCACUGGAACUGAGCCACGGUCCAGACGCCUACGGGAGGCAGCAGAGGGGAAUGUUGCACAGUGGGCGCGAGCCUGGUGCAACCAUGCCGCGUGUAUGGAAAGAGCCCUCGGGGUGUAAAGAACUUUCAGCGGGGAGGCGGUACUCGCAGAAGAAGCACCGGCUAACUCCGUGCCAGCCGCCGCGGUAAUAC
rnacentral:rRNA from 1 species